AUAUCCGCCCCCAUGCUUGCCUGGAGUUUCACAUCGCAAUAGGAUUCUCCUCAGGUCUGUGAGGAUGAGAAGGUCUCCACAGUCUGGAGUCUGGUCUCUGACAGGCUCAACAUACCUGUCAAUCAACAGGGACUCCUCUACAAAGGCAAGGCGCUGGCAGGUAGGCUGAACAGCACAGCACAGCACAGCACAGCACAGAUCACCCCUCAUCUCGCCCCUCACCUCACCCCUCCUCUCACGCCUCGCCUCACCCCGGGUCAGUGUGGCACAGCCUGCCUGCUCUUCUGAACAAACACUUCAGUGUCUGGAGCAGCUACACAAGGUGAUGAAGUGACACUUUUGAAUAUGGGGCCUGAUGAGAGAAGUAUCCUUUUCAUGUGGUUUUGGUUUUGCCGUUGUGAGCAGGUGUGGGAGACAGCACCGUGUCUGCAUGUGAAAUAACAAAGUCAUCGCAGUGGAGGGACUCUCUGAAGGCUGCUGUUUGUGGAUUUGUCUUUUAAUGUGAGUGAUCUACUGUACUGUGAUGCCACUGACUGUACGCACGCUGCACUGUAGGGGAGACACCGCUGGCAUUCACAGGGCAUGCUUGUUCAUUUAAAGCACGCUGCACUGCAGGGGAGACACCGCUGGC